AACGAACGCUGGCGGCAGGCCUAACACAUGCAAGUCGAGCGCCCCGCCGGGGGAUCGGCGCACGGGUGGGUAACGCGUGGGGAUAUGCCCUUUGCUACGGAAUAGUCGCGGUGGACGGGGGGUAAUCCAGAACAGGCCUAUUGGGGGAAACGUUUAUCGGCGAAGGGUUAGCGGCCGUGGGAUUAGGUGGUUGGUGGGUUGAUGGCCUACCAAUCCGACGAUCGAUAGAUGGUGUGAGAGGAAGAGCAGCCACACUGGGUCUGGGACACGGCCGAGAAUCCUACGGGAGGGAGCAGUGGGGAAUCUUGGACAAUGGGGGCAAUCCUGAUCGAGCCCUGCUGGGUGAGCGAUGAUGGCCGGAGGGUUGUAAAGGUCUUUCAGCUGGGAAGAUAAUGACGGUACCAGAAGAAGAAGCCCCGGCUAACUACGUG
rnacentral:rRNA from 1 species